rnacentral:rRNA from 1 species
AGUGAACGCUGGCGGUAGGCCUAACACAUGCAAGUCGAACGGCAGCACAGUAAGAGCUUGCUCUUACGGGUGGCGAGUGGCGGACGGGUGAGGAAUACAUCGGAAUCUACUUUUUCGUGGGGGAUAACGUAGGGAAACCUACGCUAAUACCGCAUACGACCUACGGGUGAAAGCAGGGGAUCUUCGGACCUUGCGCGAUUGAAUGAGCGGAUGUUGGAUUAGCUAGUUGGCGGGGUAAAGGCCCACCAAGGCGACGAUCCGUAGCUGGUCUGAGAGGAUGAUCGGCCACACUGGAACUGGGACACGGUCCAGACUCCUACGGGAGGCAGCAGUGGGGAAUAUUGGACAAUGGGCGCAAGCCUGAUCCAGCCAUACCGCGUGGGUGAAGAAGGCCUUCGGGUUGUAAAGCCCUUUUGUUGGGAAAGAAAAGCAGCAGGUUAUGACCCCGCUGUUCUGACGGUACCCAAAGAAUAAGCACCGGCUAACUUCGUG